ACCCACGACUACGAGGUCAAGAUGCGCAACGUCUUCAAGUUCCUCGAGAACGGCGACAAGGUGAAGGUCACCCUUCGGUUCCGCGGACGCGAGAUGGCGCACCAGAACCUUGGCCGCGAACUGCUGGAACGCGUGGCGGAAGACGUCAAGGAAAUCGGCAAGGUCGAGAACAUGCCGAAGAUGGAAGGCCGCCAGAUGGUCAUGAUGAUCGGCCCCUCCGCCAAGUGAGGGUCCGGCACAUGAUCGCCUGAAAAGGCGCAUUAUCCGCACAUGAGCCCGCCGCCAAGGCGGGCU
rnacentral:misc_RNA from 1 species